rnacentral:rRNA from 1 species
AGUGAACGCUGGCGGUAGGCCUAACACAUGCAAGUCGAACGGCAGCACAGUAAGAGCUUGCUCUUACGGGUGGCGAGUGGCGGACGGGUGAGGAAUACAUCUGAAUCUACUUUUUCGUGGGGGAUAACGUAGGGAAACUUACGCUAAUACCGCAUACGACCUACGGGUGAAAGCAGGGGAUCUUCGGACCUUUCGCGAUUGAAUGAGCCGAUGUCGGAUUAGCUAGUUGGCGGGGUAAAGGCCCACCAAGGCGACGAUCCGUAGCUGGUCUGAGAGGAUGAUCAGCCACACUGGAACUGAGACACGGUCCAGACUCCUACGGGAGGCAGCAGUGGGGAAUAUUGGACAAUGGGCGCAAGCCUGAUCCAGCCAUACCGCGUGGGUGAAGAAGGCCUUCGGGUUGUAAAGCCCUUUUGUUGGGAAAGAAAAGCAGCAGGUUAAUACCCCGCUGUUCUGACGGUACCCAAAGAAUAAGCACCGGCUAACUUCGUG